UACGUAGGAGGCAAGCGUUGUCCGGAAUUAUUGGGCGUAAAGAGCUCGUAGGCGGUUUGUCGCGUCGAAUGUGAAAACCCGGGGCUCAACCCCGGGCCUGCAUUCGAUACGGGCAGACUAGAGUUCGGUAGGGGAGUCUGGAAUUCCUGGUGUAGCGGUGAAAUGCGCAGAUAUCAGGAGGAACACCGGUGGCGAAGGCGGGACUCUGGGCCGAUACUGACGCUGAGGAGCGAAAGCGUGGGGAGCAAACAGG
rnacentral:rRNA from 1 species